rnacentral:rRNA from 1 species
AUUGAACGCUGGCGGCAGGCUUAACACAUGCAAGUCGAGCGGGGUGAUGGUGCUUGCACUAUCACUUAGCGGCGGACGGGUGAGUAAUGCUUAGGAAUCUGCCUAUUAGUGGGGGACAACAUAUCGAAAGGGAUGCUAAUACCGCCUACGUCCUACGGGAGAAAGCAGGGGAUCACUUGUGACCUCGCGCUACUCGAUGAGACUAAGUCGGAUUAGCUAGUUGGUGGGGUAAAGGCCUACCAAGGCGACGAUCUGUAGCGGGUCUGAGAGGAUGAUCCGCCACACUGGGACUGAGACACGGCCCAGACUCCUACGGGAGGCAGCAGUGGGGAAUAUUGGACAAUGGGGGGAACCCUGAUCCAGCCAUGCCGCGUGUGUGAAGAAGGCCUUAUGGUUGUAAAGCACUUUAAGCGAGGAGGAGGCUCUUUUGGUUAAUACCCAAGAUGAGUGGACGUUACUCGCAGAAUAAGCACCGGCUAACUCUGUGCCAGCCGCCGCCGUAA